UCGAGCGAACGGACGAGAAGCUUGCUUCUCUGAUGUUAGCGGCGGACGGGUGAGUAACACGUGGAUAACCUACCUAUAAGACUGGGAUAACUUCGGGAAACCGGAGCUAAUACCGGAUAAUAUUUUGAACCGCAUGGUUCAAAAGUGAAAGACGGUCUUGCUGUCACUUAUAGAUGGAUCCGCGCUGCAUUAGCUAGUUGGUAAGGUAACGGCUUACCAAGGCAACGAUGCAUAGCCGACCUGAGAGGGUGAUCGGCCACACUGGAACUGAGACACGGUCCAGACUCCUACGGGAGGCAGCAGUAGGGAAUCUUCCGCAAUGGGCGAAAGCCUGACGGAGCAACGCCGCGUGAGUGAUGAAGGUCUUCGGAUCGUAAAACUCUGUUAUUAGGGAAGAACAUAUGUGUAAGUAACUGUGCACAUCUUGACGGUACCUAAUCAGAAAGCCACGGCUAACUACGUGCCAGCAGCCGCGGUAAUACGUAGGUGGCAAGCGUUAUCCGGAAUUAUUGGGCGUAAAGCGCGCGUAGGCGGUUUUUUAAGUCUGAUGUGAAAGCCCACGGCUCAACCGUGGAGGGUCAUUGGAAACUGGAAAACUUGAGUGCAGAAGAGGAAAGUGGAAUUCCAUGUGUAGCGGUGAAAUGCGCAGAGAUAUGGAGGAACACCAGUGGCGAAGGCGACUUUCUGGUCUGUAACUGACGCUGAUGUGCGAAAGCGUGGGGAUCAAACAGGAUUAGAUACCCUGGUAGUCCACGCCGUAAACGAUGAGUGCUAAGUGUUAGGGGGUUUCCGCCCCUUAGUGCUGCAGCUAACGCAUUAAGCACUCCGCCUGGGGAGUACGACCGCAAGGUUGAAACUCAAAGGAAUUGACGGGGACCCGCACAAGCGGUGGAGCAUGUGGUUUAAUUCGAAGCAACGCGAAGAACCUUACCAAAUCUUGACAUCCUUUGACAACUCUAGAGAUAGAGCCUUCCCCUUCGGGGGACAAAGUGACAGGUGGUGCAUGGUUGUCGUCA
rnacentral:rRNA from 1 species